GUGAGGAAUAUUGGGCAAUGGGGGAAACCCUGACCCAGCAACGCCGCGUGAAGGAAGAAGGUUUUCGGAUCGUAAACUUCUAUCCUUGGUGAAGAUAAUGACGGUAGCCAAGAAGGAAGCCCCGGCUAACUACGUGCCAGCAGCCGCGGUAAUACGUAGGGGGCAAGCGUUGUCCGGAAUGAUUGGGCGUAAAGGGCGCGUAGGCGGCCUGGUGAGUCUGGAGUGCAAAGCCUGCUUUUAAGGUGGGAAUUGCUUUGGAUACUGUCUGGCUUGAGUGCAGGAGAGGUAAGCGGAAUUCCCGGUGUAGCGGUGAAAUGCGUAGAGAUCGGGAGGAACACCAGUGGCGAAGGCGGCUUACUGGACUGUAACUGACGCUGAGGCGCGAAAGUGUGGGGAGCAAACAGGAUUAGAUACCCUAGUAGUCC
rnacentral:rRNA from 1 species